GGGUAUAGCUCAGUGGUAGAGCAUAUGCUUAGCAUGAGAAGGCCUGGGUUCAAUCCCCAGUGCCUCCG
rnacentral:tRNA from 1 species